rnacentral:rRNA from 1 species
UAGGGAAUAUUGGACAAUGGAGGAAACUCUGAUCCAGCCAUCCCGCGUGCAGGAUGACGGUCCUCUGGAUUGUAAACUGCUUUUAUAUAGGAAGAAACCACCGGAUUCAUUCGGUGCUGACGGUACUAUACGAAUAAGGACCGGCUAACUCCGUGCCAGCAGCCGCGGUAAUACGGAGGGUCCAAGCGUUAUCCGGAUUUACUGGGUUUAAAGGGUGCGCAGGCGGAAAGCAAAGUCAGUGGUGAAAUCCCGUAGCUUAACUACGGAACUGCCAUUGAAACUCGUUUUCUUGAGUAUAGUUGAGGUGGGCGGAAUUUGACAUGUAGCGGUGAAAUGCUUAGAUAUGUCAAAGAACACCAAUUGCGAAGGCAGCUCACUAAACUAUCACUGACGCUCAUGCACGAAAGCGUGGGGAGCGAACAGGAUUAGAUACCCCCGUAGUCC